rnacentral:rRNA from 1 species
UACCUGGUUGAUCCUGCCAGUAGUCAUAUGCUUGUCUCAAAGAUUAAGCCAUGCAUGUCUAAGUAAAAACUAAAUUAUGGUGAAACUGCAAAUGGCUCAUUACAACGGUUAUGAUGUACCCGGGAUUUCCGAUGGAUAUUUCCAGUAACACUAGAGCUAAUACAUGUAACUGCGUUUAUUAGUUUCAAACAAAUCUGUCGCUGAGUCAUGGUAAACAGUUGAUCGACUCGACGUCCCGGAACAGUUUCCGCCCCAUCAGCUUCGAUGGUUGGGUAUUGGCCUACCAUUGCAACAACGGGUAACGAGGAAUUAGGGUUUGAUUUCGGAGAGGGAGCCUGAGAAACGGCUACCACAUCUACGGAUGGCAGCAGGCGCGCAAAUUACCCAAUGCAGACACUGUGAGGUAGUGACGAGAAAUAAUAAAGCGGGGCUUCUGUCUUGCUAUUAUAAUGAGGAAUAACUAAAUGUCAUUCCUAUUAGCAACUGAUGGGAAAGUCUGGUGCCAGCAGCCGCGGUAAUACCAGCUUCAGUAGCAUAUAUUAAAAUUGUUGCAGUUAAAACGUCCGUAGUCUGUACGUCGUCUAAGACUUACUACGACUCUAUAUAUUCUUUCAUUGAAUGUGUAGUGCUUGUAGUACUCCCUUUGAUCAAAUAGAUGUUCAAGGUAGACUAAGUCUUCAUAUCUUCACAUGGGAAUUUGGUGAGGGAACUUAAGAGGUAAGUUUUCUCGUCUUAGAUCAUCUGGGUCAUUCGUACUCGUCCGCGAGAGGUGUAAUUCUUGUACCCGACGAUAACGAUCAGCAGCGAAGCAUCUGUCAGGGAUGUUUCUUGCGACAAAGGACGAAGGUCAGGGUAUCGAGACGAUAGAUACGUCGUAGUCUGACUGUAAACUAUGCCGACUUGGGUCUUGCAGAGUCAAUACUUUGUGAGACCCACACAGAAAUGAAAGUGUAUGGGUUCUGGGGGUAGUAUGGACACAAGUCUGAAACUUGAAGGAAUUGACGGAAGGGCACCAUAAGACGUGGAGCUUGCGGCUUAAUUUGACUCAACGCGGGAAAACUUACCAGGUCAAGACAUGGGCGUGAUUGACAGGCUAAUGACCUUUCUCGAUUCCUUGGAUGGUGGUGCAUGGUCGCACUUAGUUGGUGCAGUGAUUUGUCAGGUUUAUUCCGGUAACGAACGAGACCUCGGCCUUGUAACUAGUUUAACUGCUUACAGGGACAAUGUCGGCUACGUCAAGGAAGUUCGAGGCAAUUGCAGAUCUGGAAUGCCCUUAGAUGUCCUGGGUCGCACGCGUGCUACAAUGACGCCACGAGCGAGUUCAGGUGAUGAAAGUCACCUGAAAUCAGCAAUCGUCGUCUUAAGGGACAGUCUCUUGUAACUGUGGGACUCUAACUAGGAAUGUCUCGUAAGCACAAGUCAACAUCUUGUGUUGAUUACGUCCCUGCUCUUUGUACACACCGCCCGUCGCUCCUACCGAUCGAGUGACCCGGUGAAUAAUUCGGACUGCAGCAAUGUUUGGAUCCCGAACGUUGCAGCGGAAAGUUUAGUGAACAUUAUCACUUAGAGGAAGGAGAAGUCGUAACAAGGUUUCCGUAGGUGAACCUGCAGAAGGAUC